GAUGAAGAACGUAGCGAAAUGCGAUACGUAAUGUGAAUUGCAGAAUUCAGUGAAUCAUCGAAUCUUUGAACGCACAUUGCGCCUGCCAGCACUCUGGCAGGCAUGCCUGUUCGAGCGUCAUUUCAACCAUCAAGCCCUAGGCUUGCGUUGGAGCCCUGCGGCUGCCGCAGGCCCCUAAAAGCAGUGGCGGGCUCGCUAUCACACCGAGUGCAGUAGAUUACUCUUCGCUCAGGGCGUGUGGCAGGUUCCAGCCGUGAAACCCCCUACUUCUCAAGGUUGACCUCGGAUCAGGUAGGAAUACCCGCUGAACUUAAGCAUAUCAAUAAGCGGAGA
rnacentral:misc_RNA from 1 species